rnacentral:rRNA from 1 species
GAUGAACGCUGGCGGCGUGCCUAAUACAUGCAAGUCGAGCGAACAGACGAGGAGCUUGCUCCUCUGACGUUAGCGGCGGACGGGUGAGUAACACGUGGAUAACCUACCUAUAAGACUGGGAUAACUUCGGGAAACCGGAGCUAAUACCGGAUAAUAUAUUGAACCGCAUGGUUCAAUAGUGAAAGACGGUUUUGCUGUCACUUAUAGAUGGAUCCGCGCCGCAUUAGCUAGUUGGUAAGGUAACGGCUUACCAAGGCAACGAUGCGUAGCCGACCUGAGAGGGGGAGCGGCCAACGUGGAACGGAAAAACGGUCCAGACCCCUACGGGAGGCAGGAGGAGGGAAUCUUCCGCAAGGGGCGAAAGCCUGACGGGGAAACGCCGGGGGGGGGAAGAAGGUCUUCGGAUCGUAAAACUCUGUUAUUAGGGAAAAAAAAAUGGGUAAGUAACUAGGCACGUCUUGACGGUACCUAAGCAGAAAGCCACGGCUAACUACGU